rnacentral:rRNA from 1 species
CCUACGGGUGGCAGCAGUGGGGAAUAUUGCGCAAUGGGCGAAAGCCUGACGCAGCGACGCCGCGUGAGGGAUGAAGGUCUUCGGAUCGUAAACUUCUGUCAGCAGGGAAGAACGGUCACUGUGCUAAUCAGCAAUGAAUUGACGGUACCUGCAAAGGAAGCACCGGCUAACUCCGUGCCAGCAGCCGCGGUAAUACGGAGGGUGCGAGCGUUAAUCGGAAUUACUGGGCGUAAAGCGCUCGCAGGCGGUCUGUCAAGUCAAGGGUGAAAUCCCCGCGCUCAACGUGGGAACUGCCUUUGAAACUGGCAAGCUGGAGUGUGUGAGAGGAUAGUGGAAUUCCAGGUGUAGGAGUGAAAUCCGUAGAGAUCUGGAGGAACAUCAGUGGCGAAGGCGACUACCUGGCCCAUGACUGACGCUGAGGAGCGAAAGCGUGGGUAGCAAACAGGAUUAGAUACCCGUGUAGUC